rnacentral:rRNA from 1 species
AUUGAACGCUGGCGGCAGGCCUAACACAUGCAAGUCGAACGAGUGGCGGACGGGUGAGUCAUGUCUGGGAAACUGCCCGAUGGAGGGGGAUAACUACUGGAAACGGUAGCUAAUACCGCAUACCAUCGGAUGUGCCCAGAUGGGCUUAGCUAGUAGGUGGGGUAACGGCUCACCUAGGCGACGAUCCCUAGCUGGUCUGAGAGGAUGACCAGCCAAACUGGAACUGAGACACGGACCAGACUCCUACGGGAGGCAGCAGUGGGGAAUAUUGCACAAUGGGCGCAAGCCUGAUGCAGCCAUGCCGCGUGUAUGAAGAAGUCCUUCGGGUUGUAAAGUACUUUCAGCGAGGAGGCGUUACUCACAGAAAAAGCACCGGCUAACUCCGUGCCCGCAGCCGCGGUAAUAC